CCUACGGGAGGCAGCAGUGGGGAAUUUUGGACAAUGGGCGAAAGCCUGAUCCAGCCAUUCCGCGUGCAGGAUGAAGGCCCUCGGGUUGUAAACUGCUUUUGUACAGAACGAAAAGGUUUCUACUAAUACUAGGAGCUCAUGACGGUACUGUAAGAAUAAGCACCGGCUAACUACGUGCCAGCAGCCGCGGUAAUACGUAGGGUGCAAGCGUUAAUCGGAAUUACUGGGCGUAAAGCGUGCCGCAGGCGGUUAUAUAAGUCAGAUGUGAAAUCCCCGGGCUCAACCUGGGAACUGCAUUUGAGACUGUAUAGCUAGAGUACGGUAGAGGGGGAUGGAAUUCCGCGUGUAGCAGUGAAAUGCGUAGAUAUGCGGAGGAACACCGAUGGCGAAGGCAAUCCCCUGGACCUGUACUGACGCUCAUGCACGAAAGCGUGGGGAGCAAACAGGAUUAGAUACCCUGGUAGUCCACGCCCUAAACGAUGUCAACUGGUUGUUGGGUCUUAACUGACUCAGUAACGAAGCUAACGCGNGAGUGACGCGNGGAGAGCGCGAGUGAGANANAGAUGAGNGNGAGAGNGCGAGACGACGACGAGGGAGGAGG
rnacentral:rRNA from 1 species